GGGGGCGCAAGCAAACUGAGCUGGUCGUCCUCCCUGCUGAGUCUGUCUUGAGGCGUCCCUUCUCCUUCCGUGCUGUUCCCACUUUCCACGAGGCGCGGGGAGUAGCCUGGCGACGCCUCUCUCUCACUCUUACGCGAAAGAAAUCGAGAAAGCGCCUGAGGCCGGAGAAGAACCUAGCGGGGUCCCCCGCUCUCUGUGGCCUCCGCCUUUGGGCAGGCCGCGCGGGGCCGUGGGAGGAGCGCGGAAUCCUGGCUCCACCGCCCACAUGCUGGAUGACUUUGGGCGACGGCUCCCCCUCUCCCCACAGCUGGUGGGGAUGCGGUGAAAUACUAAGGCACAGGAAGCACCAGGCGCGUCGUUGUGCGGCGUGAGCGACCGAAGGCUGAGCCAGACCUAUGUCUUAGGAGCUUGCGGUCUCCUAGACAGGCGGGAGUAUCUCCCAUCCUCAUCACUUGUGAGGCAGCCCUGGAGAGAGAAAAGCCAGCUGCCAUAUUGUGAGGAUACUCAAGCAACCUGCCAGCAACCACAAGUGAACUUGUGAGUGGAUUCUCUCCUAGUUGAAUCUUGAGAUAACUGCAAACUCGUGAGAGAACGUGAGCCAGAACUAUCCAGCUAUGCUGCUCUCAGACUCCUGACCCACAAAGGCUGAGAUAAUAAACGUUUGUUAUCUUAAGCCAUUAAA